AUGGAUGCAGAAGGGAUAGAAUUGGAGGUUCUUGUUGGCCUUAGUUCACAAAUAUGUAAUGUCAUUCCAGGUGAUUUUGCACGAGAACUAGAGCAUGGUCAGAUUAAGGAAAGAUUUAUAAAGAGGCUUGUUGAUGCACUUAAGAAAAAUAUGAUACCCACUGCUCAUUGUCCCGGAAUCAGGAGGGUGAUAGUUGAACAUGCCAUAUACAUGAUGGAGUGUAAUCCUGGCAACGCCAACUGUUUCAAAAAAUACUGGAUGAUGGAAGCACUGUUAAAGGUGGAGCGUACAACUUCAAUUGCUGAAAAUUACAGGUUCUUCUCGGGUGAUGCAGGACUCAUGGAGCACAGCGUACCUCUAUCUGCACUUGUGGCUAGAGCAAAAGAGCUGAUGGGCCGUGGGUAG
rnacentral:rRNA from 1 species